CUGAAGAGCCUUUCCGGCACAAGGUGGUCUGCGAGAGCUGAUGCAACAAAAGCUCUGAGAUUUGGCUACAAAGCUAUUCAAGAUGCUUUGAAUGAAAUCAAAGUUGACCAUGGAACCCCCAGAGCUGCUCAAUAUGAGGCGUGUCAAUUAAUAACAGUGAUGGACACCCUUGAAACUGCAGUUAUGACAGUAGUGUGGGAUGACCUGCUGAGAAGAAUCAAUUUAACCAGCAAAGCAUUGCAGCAGGUACAAAUUGAUGUAUGUACUGUUCCUAUUCUGUACAGUUCACUCAUAGAGUUCAUAGGACAAGCCAGAAAUGAUUUUGAUGUCUAUGAAGCAGAGGCCAAAACCUUCACAGCAACAGAGGGAUACAAAGCAGAUAGCCAAAGAAGACGAGUGAAGAAAGUUUUGUUCGGUGAGUCUGCAGGUCCAGAGGUGCAGCGCUCAGGCCGUGAAGCAUUCCUGAUUGACUCACAUUAUGUCAUCUGUGACUGCUUGUCACAAGAAUUGAAACGACGCAAAGACGCAUACAAAAAUGUGGAGGAGAAAUUUGGUUUCCUUACUAAAACGAAAUCAAUGGACAUUGAACAAAUCCAUGCAGCCACAGAAAAGCUGAAGAAAAUAUACCCUCAGGAUCUUGAGGAGGACUUUACAGCAGAGUUUUGCCAGUUCAUCUCAAUGGUAAAAGAUGAAGAAUCAGUCAUGGCCAUGUACAAGAAGCUCCUAGAGCUAGGCUUGAGGGAUGCUUUCCCUAAUGUGGACAUUUGCCUUCGCAUGUAUCUGACAUUACCGAUUGCAAACUGUUCAGGAGAAAGAUCAUUUUCUUUGUUGAAACGAGUGAAAACAUACCGGAGAGCAACAGUAACAGAAAAAAAACUGAAUGCCUUUGCCCUGUUGGCAAUUGAGAAUGGAUUUACAACCUCCCUGGAUUUUGAAGACAUUAUCGAGGACUUCGCCUCAUCAAAACUUAGGAGAAAGCAUCUGUAAAGAUCGUGAUGAUGCUGUCAAGACGUGUUUCUGCUGCGAUGGAGGCCUGCGAUGCUGGAAGGCUGAAGAUUAUCCCUGAGUGGAGCAUGCUAAAUGGUUUCCUCAGUGUGAAUAUGGGCUCCAGGAGAAGGGACAAGAAUUUUUGUUCACCCAAUUCAGGCUCGUUUUCCUUGGCUGUCUGAGCAGAGUGCAGUCUAGUAAAGCACACCGUCCAGAGAAACAUCCAGACCAGUGGAGAGAACUGCUGAACAGUCCAGACCAGGAGCUGAGCUGCUGAGUGUUGAAUACCAGAAAAUGGAAGAGAGGUGAUGGUUGUCCAUGAAAAUAAACAUC